rnacentral:rRNA from 1 species
GCACAAGCGGUGGAUGAUGUGGAUUAAUUCGAUGCAACGCGAAAACCUUACCUACCCUUGACAUGUCUGGAACCUUGGUGAGAGCCGAGGGUGCCUUCGGGAGCCAGAACACAGGUGCUGCAUGGCUGUCGUCAGCUCGUGUCGUGAGAUGUUGGGUUAAGUCCCGCAACGAGCGCAACCCUUGUCACUAGUUGCCAUCAUUUGGUUGGGCACUCUAGUGAGACUGCCGGUGACAAACCGGAGGAAGGUGGGGAUGACGUCAAGUCCUCAUGGCCCUUAUAGGUGGGGCUACACACGUCAUACAAUGGCCGGUACAGAGGGUAGCCAACCCGCGAGGGGGAGCCAAUCCCACAAAGCCGGUCGUAGUCCGGAUCGCAGUCUGCAACUCGACUGCGUGAAGUCGGAAUCGCUAGUAAUCGCGGAUCAGCAUGUCGCGGUGAAUACGUUCCCGGGUCUU